UGAAUUACAGUGGCUUCCUUAAGACUUUUGUCCCCUUUUAUCUAGAUCUGCAGGUUCAGACCUUGGUACCAGCCUUUCCGUGCAACUUGACACUCCUUCCCUGCUUUCUCAGCCUUCAUUUAUUCUUUCAACCAACCCCUGCAUCACCAGCACCGGCACCAGCUAUAGCAUGGUACCAUCUCCACCUUCUUACCACAAGUCCUUGAUCCCUGUUCACCCCAGCGCCAUCAGCUCCACAACCAGUGUCGUGUCUGCCAGAGAAGACCAAACACCCUCUACCUCCACCAGUCACCCUUCGGCGUUCGCUGCCCUCCAUGUGAGAAAUGCGCCUGUUCCCUCAAAACAGAGCACCCAAAGACUUGUUAUUUCUGAGGCAUCCAACAGUGUGGCUUCUGGAGGGUCAGUGGGACGGUACAGCAAUAGUGGGACUUCAGGAAGCAAUAUUGGUCUUGCUCUCUUUGGCGUGGGGCUUGGUAGCAAAGCAUUGUUUCAAAGUUUAAUGGAAGAAAAUGGCUGCUGUUUGCUUUACAUUGUGGAGGAUCAGUUGCCAGAUGUGGAACGUGCCUUCAAUACAGAAUUCCUGGCCAACACCAGGGUGCUACGGCAACAGGAUGCGGACAUAGUGCUCAAUGAUCAACGUGUCUCUGGAGCCAUUGUCUGUUCACCACCUGAAGCAGCCUCUGAAAUUGUGAUAGAUGCUUUACGAGCAGGGAAAGGCGUGUUUUGCGAGAAGCUACCCAGUUUAGAUAGGCAGACAGCAGAGGCUUGUUUUGAUGAAGCUGACAGAUGUGGAAGACCAUUGGUCUGUGGAUUCUACAAGCGUUUUGAUCCAGCCCUGCAGUUCUUGUAUAAAAAAGUCCAUGACAGCCAGGCACUGGGGAGGAUUCAUCGGAUUUCGACAGUUAGCAGCAUAUAUCCAGCAGCAUCUCUUAGCUUCCUAAAAAAGUCAGGUGGGAUUUUCUAUAAUGCUGCUGUACAUGAUAUUGAUAUUAUCAGUUUGUUGCUGGGAGAAAGUGCACCAGAUACAAUAUUUUCACUGGGACAUGCAUUCUGUGCAGAUAUGGCCUACUUGAAGGAUGCAGACACUGUAGCAGUCAGCAUGAAAUUUCCUAGUGGAGCAAUUGUUACUUUGGACGUGAGUCAGCACUGUACUAAAAGCUGUGAUCAGAGACUAGAGGUUCAUGGUUCUCAAGGAACAUUACGGGUAGAUAAUCAGAAUCCCUUGGGAAUUACAGAACAUGGAACGUCUGUGUCCAUAUAUUCACAAACCCAGGCUGAUCGGUACAAAGAAGCAUACAGAGAACUCUUUAGACACUUUCUCAGAACCCUCAAAGGCAAAGAACCCCCUGUUAUCACCAAAGAGCAGUUUCUCUGGACGAUUCAGGUAGCUGCAGCUGCUGAACAGUCUUGGAGGAACGGAUCUGCUGUGGACUUGCGCAAUGAAGCAAUAGACGUGUCUCUAAUCAAGACUGAAAUAAUGUGACACACACUGCUGUUUGAAGUGAAGGCUAUUCCCUGAGCUCUGCUAAAGGGAGUGAAGUCUCUCUUCAUCUAGUGAGGUUUCCACUGUUGACUUAAUACAAAACUAAACAACCUUUUUUAUUUUUUUAUUUUUCUUUACAUUUUCACUGGAAACACCUAUAACUCAGAUACCUUUUAGAACUACAGGAGUGUUCAGUACUGGUGUUCCCGAUGAUUCUUAGGACAUCAUUCAGGACUCGGAGAAGAAAUUAUGGGAGGCUUUGUCUACAGUGGCAUUUCCUUUUUGAAGGAGUUACUUUCAGGUUCUGAAAUACUGUUUUUCUGAUAGUGGAUUUCCCAGACACUAAUCAUGAUAAGAUAAUGACGUACUGACAACCUGCUGUUGUAGUGAAGACUGUGCAAUGAACAUCUUGAAUGGCAGCUUGAAAAUGAGGUGCAAUCAUGGUAUUCAAAAUAAGAGCAUCCAUUUGAUCCAUACUAUACAUCUCAUUAGUAUAUGCAGGAAUGUGAUUUGUCUACUAAAUACCCCUCUUCUGAGUCCCCCAUCUAUAGAACUGUCCAUGUUGUUCUUAAUUCAUUGCUGUGGAUUUGAAAUAACAUAGCUGAGGAGUUGUGAGCGUCUAACUUUUUGAAAAUGAGCAGGCAGGGAGACUUCUUACCAACCUGGCUCUAGAGUGUAAUGAAAGAAACUUGGAAGGCAUGCUAUAAAUUGGACUUUUUCACAGAGCAAACCAUGCACUUGGGCAUUUCUAUAUGAACGCUGCAUCAGUGUUAAAAAAAAUAAAGGUUUCUUUUAGAACA
ensembl:lncRNA